rnacentral:rRNA from 1 species
UAACGAAUCUUCCGCAAUGCACGAAAGUGUGACGGAGCGACGCCGCGUGGAGGACGAAGUUCUUCGGAAUGUAAACUCCUGUCAGGGGAAAGAAAGUUCUGAUCUACCCCAGAGGAAGAGGCGGCUAACUCUGUGCCAGCAGCCGCGGUAAUACAGAGGCCUCGAGCGUUAGACGGAAUCACUGGGCUUAAAGCGUGUGUAGGCGGAAGGGUAAGUACCUUGUGAAAUCCCACGGCUUAACCGUGGAACGGCUUGGUAUACUGCUUUUCUUGAGCAAUCUAGGGGCGAGUGGAACAGAUGGUGGAGCGGUGAAAUGCGUAGAUAUCAUCUGGAACGCCAAUGGUGAAGACAACUCGCUGGGGAUUUGCUGACGCUGAGACACGAAAGCCAGGGGAGCAAACGGGAUUAGAUACCCCGGUAGUCCCUGAGCGGGCUGGCAAGGCGCAU